AUCUUUUCUCUCCGUUCUUCUUUCUUCUUCUUCUUCUUCUGUUCUUUCUUCUUUUUCUUUCAAUUGAUUUCAAGUCGCAGAAGUGAUCUUAAGUUAAUGUGAAUGUUCUAUUGAAGAUGUUUAGAUGAUCAAGGAGAUGUAGUUUCUGUUAAUUGUGAACAAGGAGUUGGUGUUGAUGAAGAAUCGAUGAAAGUUUUCAGUAAUCAGGAGAAAAGGUGCGCUCGGAGAUAACCGUUUCGUAGCUUAAAGCUUUUAUCGUAUUAAAGAUGUUGCAUGUCUUUCGUAUAUGUAUAUUUUUUUGGUAAUCUGUAAAACAACACAUUAUUAUAUUCAUAUCACUCGAGAGAUCUUCAUUUAUAUGAUAUCAGAGUGUAAGGGUUUACCCUUGGGAUUAGCUUAUGUAAUUGAGAUUCUUAAGAUCAUUAAUCUAGAUUUUAAGCUUCAAUUAGUUUGUAAUCCUAUUAGCUAAGCAGGUUUAGUACUUGGGGCGUCACAAGGGAUAUCGUUGGCGAAGGAUAAUUUUGGUAAUAACGUGAGAGGAGGCUGCCGGCGCUGGCAAGUUGAUGUUUCUGAAAUUUUUGACGGGAGAUGUUGGCGCUGACAGGUUGAUGGAUGUUGGCGCUAGCACCGGAGAGGUAUCCCGGUAUGGGAAGGAAAGCGACAAGGAUAGCGCUGAUGCUGGAAGCUCUAGAAGGUGAAGGCAGGUUGCUGGUGUCGUGACUAUUAGAGCGUUGCUCAGUCGAACUCACAAGUUAUGCUAUCUCAACCUUGUUGUCAAUGUUAUAUGAGCAUAACUAUAUCUUGAUUUCGAGGUUACUAAGUUAAGUCUCGGACUAGGUAUAUAAGUUGGUACUUGAGUAUCAUACAUCCCCCCUCUAAGACUGAAGAUCGGCGAAGAAAUUUGGAGAACUUCAUCAAAAAGGUAUGUAGAGACUAGACCAUUCUAUUUACUCACAAGCUUACCAUUCUAUCUAAUUGAGACUAUAUCGUAUUACUUCUAGUAGAUUUAUUGCAAAGAAUAAACUUCGAGUCAAACGCUUGUCUUGUUAAGCAUCCUGAAAUGUGAUUCAAGCAAUAGAUGGAUGUUCAUUGGUCCUUAGCAAUAUUAGUUGGAAAUAAUUUUUUGUUCAGGAA